rnacentral:lncRNA from 1 species
UUCAUCUUUAUAUGUUUCAUUCCCCCCAAUUCAUUCUCCCAAAUUGUAGCCUCCCUCCCACGGUCCCACCUCACCUCCGAUCUACCGCCCGUCCCACCUGCGUCCACCUUCGAUCCAUCGCAGCCGCUCCACUUCUGUCCCACCCUUUUUGACCGACAACCCCAAUUGCAGCCACCACCACCGCUCGCAACCACUACAACCACUCGCAUCCACCACCGUCGUUCGUCACCACCACCAUGCAUUUCAACAUCUUGAAGUCGACCCAUUUGUACAAAUCCAACCUCCGGGAUAUGUAGUGCAACCUCAAGGCAAUUAUAUGAGUUUGUUCUUUGAGUCGCCCAAUUCUAGUGCUUUUUUCAAUCCACAAAAAAUCAUUGGAUCACGGUGUAAAACACUUAUUGAAGACAUUAAAAAAACGUAAAAGAAAUACGUGAGCUUCAUUCUAAAAAAGUGUUCUAUCUUGCACCAUACUUAGCCGGUAAACAUUGGUUGCUUAUAAUUGUUUACCCGGGCUUCAAAUUUGGCUAUAUUGUUGAUUCUAUAAAUGAAGGGAAGACCCAUAAAAAUUACAUGCUCGUCAAGAUCAUUGAAGAAGUUUUUAAGAUUAAUUUUAAGUGGCACAUGUCACAGUGCAAACAACAGAAAGGCAAUUAGGAAUAUGGGUAUAUGGUAAUCAAACAUAUGAAGAGUUUAUCGACUCUAUACAAUAUGAUUUGGUUAACCGACUUUGGAAUGAAGAAGGGUAUUUUGAAGAAUCUUAAAUUGAGAAUUUAGUGGUAGAUUUAAUGUCGGGAUUUAUUAAAAAGAUGUUUUGAUCUUGUAAGCAUUAGUUUGUGUUUCAUACUUUUGUAAUUCCGUAUACUUGAACGGGUUGUUGGGUUGUUUAAUACUAGUUAACUUUUGUCGU